GAAUAGGAUUGCUGCCUUCAAGAAGCAUCCAGUUGUUUCAGGAAAAUAAGACAAAGAACAUUAGAAAGAAAUUCCCAGGGGAUGCCUAGGACACCUCCAAAUAAAAAAGAUUACUGGGCAUCAACAGCUGCCCCCCACCCACAUGACGGGCAUUUCACUGCAUUCGUGGGUUUACCACCAGGUACAACAGGCACCGACAUCACUUGGUCAGUGAGAAAGGAAAGACACUUAAGCACAGAGAUGCUAAAUUUCUUAUCCAAAGUCACACAACAAGUCAAGAUUGGAGUCAAGAUUCAGACUGAGGCAGUAAAAAUCAAGAGCUUAUAUUCUUAAAUUCUGCUUGUCUGACUUCUCUCAGGGUAUUAUGAGCAAUUUGAAGAGAAAACAUUAAGUGAGACCACAUGAAGAGUUUGGAUCCAGUCAUAUGCAUCUUUCUGCUCAUCAGGGGAUUUAUUCUCAAGUCCUCACAGUCUUUUCAAAGGAGUUGCUGUCUCAUGAACAAUCUAUG